ACGGAGGGUGCAAGCGUUAUUCGGAUUUACUGGGCGUAAAGGGCGCGUAGGCGGUUGAUCAAGUCAGAUGUGAAAUCCCGGGGCUCAACCCCGGAAGUGCAUCUGAAACUGGUCGGCUUGAGUAUGGUAGAGGGAAGUGGAAUUCCUGGUGUAGCGGUGAAAUGCGUAGAUAUCAGGAGGAACACCGGUGGCGAAGGCGACUUCCUGGACCAAAACUGACGCUGAGGCGCGAAAGCGUGGGGAGCAAACA
rnacentral:rRNA from 1 species